UCCAAGGAGUAGUAGCCAAUGUCCCCAUUCUCAUUUCCGAAGAUCUCAUUGCUAGGAUCCUCCACUUGUCUUGCGAUGGGAUCGCUCCCACACAUCCUACAGAUAGGACAGAGGCCCUUAUGGCCAUUUUAGGGAGACCACCCCAAUCCUCCAUCGAGGAGGUGUCUGCAAAUCAGCUUUCGGCUGAAAUGCGACUCCUCCUGAGCAUCAUAUCUAG
rnacentral:lncRNA from 1 species